AUUAGUUUUUUAAUUGAAGGCUAGAAUGAAUGGUUGGACAAGAAAUAAUCUGUCUCAGAUCAAUAUAUUGAAUUUAACUUUUAAGUGAAAAGGCUUAAAUAAUCUGAAGGGACGAUAAGACCCUAUAAAACUUUAUAUUUAGAAGUGAUAGGUAAGUUUUGUUUGUAGUUUAAUUACUUUAAAAUAUUUGGUUGGGGUGACAAGGAUAGAAUAACAAGUAACUGUUUUUUUUUUUAACAAUGAUGUUUGGAUCGGUGAUCCUAAAAGGAUUAAAAGAUUAAGUUACUUUAGGGAUAACAGCGUAAUUUUCUUUAAGAGUUCUUAUCGAUAAGAGAGUUUGCGACCUCGAUGUUGAAUUAAAGGUUCUUUAUGGAGUAGAGACUAUAAGAGAAGGUCUGUUCGACCUUUAAAACUUUACAUGAUUUGAGUUCAGACCGGUGUGAG
rnacentral:rRNA from 1 species